rnacentral:rRNA from 2 species
AUGCAGUCGAGCGGACAGAUGGGAGCUUGCUCCCUGAUGUUAGCGGCGGACGGGUGAGUAACACGUGGGUAACCUGCCUGUAAGACUGGGAUAACUCCGGGAAACCGGGGCUAAUACCGGAUGCUUGUUUGAACCGCAUGGUUCAAACAUAAAAGGUGGCUUCGGCUACCACUUACAGAUGGACCCGCGGCGCAUUAGCUAGUUGGUGAGGUAAUGGCUCACCAAGGCAACGAUGCGUAGCCGACCUGAGAGGGUGAUCGGCCACACUGGGACUGAGACACGGCCCAGACUCCUACGGGAGGCAGCAGUAGGGAAUCUUCCGCAAUGGACGAAAGUCUGACGGAGCAACGCCGCGUGAGUGAUGAAGGUUUUCGGAUCGUAAAGCUCUGUUGUUAGGGAAGAACAAGUACCGUUCGAAUAGGGCGGUACCUUGACGGUACCUAACCAGAAAGCCACGGCUAACUACGUGCCAGCAGCCGCGGUAAUACGUAGGUGGCAAGCGUUGUCCGGAAUUAUUGGGCGUAAAGGGCUCGCAGGCGGUUUCUUAAGUCUGAUGUGAAAGCCCCCGGCUCAACCGGGGAGGGUCAUUGGAACUGGGGAACUUGAGUGCAGAAGAGGAGAGUGGAAUUCCACGUGUAGCGGUGAAAUGCGUAGAGAUGUGGAGGAACACCAGUGGCGAAGGCGACUCUCUGGUCUGUAACUGACGCUGAGGAGCGAAAGCGUGUG